CCCAAAUAUUCAGCUCAGCCAUGCAUGUGUAAGUAUAAAUAAUUCUACUUUGAAACUGCGAAUGGCUCAUUAUAUCAGUUAUAGUUUAUUAGAAAUAAUUUACUACUUGGAUAACCGUAGUAAUUCUAGGGCUAAUACAUGAGUAAAUCCUCGACUUUGAAGAGGUGUGUUUAUUAGUAUGAAAACCAUAUGCUUUUGCAUAAUAGUGAGUAAUAAUAACCUUUCAUAUCGUAUGUUGUAAUAACGAUAGUUCUUUCAAGUUUCUGCCCUAUCAGCUUUCGAUGGUAGUGCAUUGGACUACCAUGGCAGUAACGGGUAACGAAGAAUUUGGGUUCGAUUUCGGAGAGGGAGCCUGAGAGAUGGCUACCACAUCCAAGGAAGGCAGCAGGCGCGUAAAUUACCCAAUCCUGACAUAGGGAGGUAGUGACAAUAAAUCACAAUGCGGGACUUUUAGUUUUGCAAUUGGAUUGAGAACAAUGUAAAAGAGUUAUCGAUAAACAAUUGGAGGGCAAGUCUGGUGCCAGCAGCCGCGGUAAUUCCAGCUCCAAUAGCGUAUAUUAACGUUGUUGCAGUAAAAAAAGCUCA
rnacentral:rRNA from 1 species